CUCUUCCCUUGCCCUCACCCUUACCUUGUCUCAUUUUAGCCUUACAUGUUGACUUCAUGACAUUAUUUAGAGAUGAUGUUCUUUCUUUUUCCAUAUAGAAAAUAACCACCUUCAAAGUGACAGCUUAGGGCUCAAACACAGUAGCUAUUCCAGCUACAUCUGAAGACAGACCAGCAUUAUUAGGGAUACAAUUGGUUGUUAUGAACCAGACAGUCGUCGUCGUCGUCGUCGUCAUCAAACAGGCUCCUUUAGAAGAUGGGGAAGGACUUCCCUGGUGGCACAGUGGUUAAGAAUCUGCCUGCCAAUGCAGGGGACACGGGAAGAUCCCACAUGCCGCGGAGCAACUAAGCCCGUGUACCGCAACUACUGAGCCUGCGCUCUAGAGCCCACAAGCCACAACUACUGAAGCCCAUGAGCCACAACUACUGAAGCCCGCAUGCCUAGAGCCCGUGCUCCACAACAAGAGAAGCCACCGCAAUGAGAAGCCCGUGCACUGCAGCAAAGACCCAAUGCAGCCAAAAAUAAAAAAUGAAUUAAAAAAAAAAGACACAAAAAAGUUGAACAUGAAAGGAUUGAAAAAAAAGAAGAUGGGGAAAGUGCAGGUGGUUGACCCUGGAAGAAUUCAAGCAGAGCAUGAUUUUUGCUGCAUGGAGAAGGAAGUUUGGUUUGGAUUUACAAGUCUCAGGAGAAAGGCAAAUGCCUUUUCCUGGGCCUCUGUUGAAGCAGCCAGGUGCCACUUCCUGGAGCUGUUGCUGGUCCCUAACAUAGCCACAGAGAGCAUCAGGAUACAGGACACUGAAGGACCUCACUGUUCCAGAGGAUGUAGCAGGAAAUACGUCAAAUCCAUGCCUCUCACUGUUGUGGCCUCUCCCAUUGCGGAGCACAGUCUCCAGACACGCAGACUCCACGGCAUGUGGGAUCUUCCCAGACCGGGGCACGAACCCGUGUCCCCUGCAUCGGCAGGCGGACUCUCAACCACUGCGCCACCAGGGAAGCCCACAUGGAAGAAGAGAAUAAUGAGAUAAUGCAUGCAGAGCACUGGCCAGAAGCCUCGCCUUAGAGGAAGCACUCACUGAGAAUUUGCCCUGUAUGUUUAUUGGUGAUUAUGACUAAUUCCUGUCAAUGACGCAGGUGAGACCCAACACUGUAUACAAGUGGACACACCUACUGAAAUGUAAGUUUGAUAUAAGCAAGGAUUUUGAAAAUCUGUUUUGCUUAUUCCUACAUCUCUAGAGCUUAGUACAGUCCCUGGGACAUUGUUGGCGGUUGGCACUUAGUAAAUGUGCUGACUGAAUAUGUGGAUUUAACGUUUCCCUGAGUUCUUAUUCUUCAUAU
rnacentral:lncRNA from 1 species